UUCCAUAACUCCAGAUGGGUUUUGCCAGGACCAAUGGAGGAGCUCCAGUGACAAUUCGCUUCUAUGAGACCCAUCCUCCAGGCUCUACUGCCCCUUAUCCAGAGAAGGCUUUGGAGGUCCAGGAUCAGUUAAAUGAAGUGGACUCAGAUGACAGGCCAGGUUCCACAAAUCCACAUGGGUUUUAGCCAAGACAGGUGGAGAAGCUCUAGUGACACCUCCCUUACAUCAGACCCAUGCUCCAGGCUCUACUGCCCCUAUCCAGAGGAGGCUUCGUUGGUGAGUCACAAGUCUCCUGCCCCUCGCCCCCUGCACUAGAUCUGUGUCCCAUUGGAUCGGAUGCAGACAGGAGUCCCAGGGCACCAACCCCUAGCAGUGCACAGCUCAGGGUAGGAUUAGUCAAGGGAGAGAAUUUGAGCCGCUAUUACUCUCCAGAGACCGCUCAGAAGCUCGUCCUGGCCUUGAGGAUCAUCCUCUGGCAGUGUAGGUCCGGGCAAAUCAAGUCUCAAAUUUGCCCACCCUGGAGAGAUGGAGCUGUGGGUCACAUCACUGCCACAAA